rnacentral:rRNA from 1 species
UACGGGGGGGGCGAGCGUUGUUCGGAAUCACUGGGCGUAAAGGGCGCGUAGGCGGCCCGCACAAGUCUGCGGUGAAAACCCCCGGCUUAACCGGGGGCCGGCCGUGGAAACUGUCGGGCUAGAGGCCGGGAGAGGGCAGCGGAAUUCCCGGUGUAGCGGUGAAAUGCGUAGAGAUCGGGAGGAACACCGGCGGCGAAGGCGGCUGCCUGGACCGGCACUGACGCUGAGGCGCGAAAGCUAGGGGAGCAAACAGG